CAUUUCCCUCAGGAAAGUGCCUUCUCUUGACUUCUCAGUCCUUCAGCUUUCAGCCUGCUUCUUUAUGCCUCGGUCCCGCAAAUUUCCACAAUUUCCCUCAGAAAUGUACUUCUCCUCUGUCCCUCAGCCCAGAAGAUGCUGCCAGGCUCCUUCUUUGUGCCCCAAUCCCUCAAAUUUCCACAAUUUCCCUCAGAAAUGCCCCUCUCCCUGACCCCUUCUAUGUCUCUCUUCCCAGAAGAUGCUGCCAGGCUCCUUCUUUGUGCCCCAAUCCUUCAAAUUUCCACAAUUUCCCUCAGAAAUGCCCCUCUCCUGACUUCUCCUAUGUCCCUUAGCCCAGAAGAUGCUGCCAGGCGCCUUCCUUGUGCAUCAGUCCCUCAAAUUUCCACUAUUUCCUUCAGAAAUGCCCCUUUCUUGACUUCUGUCUCUCUUCUCAGAAGAUGCUGCCAGCCCAGGCUCCUACUAAGUGCCUCAGUCCCUCAAAUUUCCACAAUUUCCCUCAGAAAUGCCCUUCUCUUGGCUCCUUCUAUGUCCCUCAGCCCAGAAGAUGCUGCCAGGCUCCUUCCUUUGUGCCUCAAUUCCUCAAACUGCCUUCUCAGUCCCUGUGCCCUCAGCCUCCUUCCUUGUGCCUCAAUCCCUCAAAUGUCCACAAUAUCCCUCUGAGAUGACCCUCUCUUGACUCCUUCUAUGUCCCUCAGCUCAAAAGAUGCUGUCAGGCUUCUUUCUUGUGCCUCAAUCCCUCAAAUGUCCACAAUUUCAGAAAACUGCCUUUGCUUGACUUUUUCCUAUGUCCUUCAGCUGUCAAGCUUCUUCUUUGUGCCUCAAUCCCUCAAAUUUCAACAAUUUCUCACAGAAAUGCCCUUCUCUUGACUCCUAUGUCUCUCUGCCCAGAAGAUGCUGCCAGGCUCCUUCUUUGUGCUUCAAAAUCCUUCAAAUGUCCAUGAUUUGCUUCAGAAAACUGCCUUCUCUUCAGUCUCUCUGCCCUCUGCCCCCUUCUUUGUGCCUGGAUCUCUCAGAUUUCCGCAAUUUCCCUCAGAAGUGCCCCUCUCUUGUCUCCUUCUAUGUCUCUCUGCUCAGAAGAUGCUGCUAGGCUCCUUCCUUUUGCCUCAAUUCCUCAAAUUUCCUCCAGGAAACUGCCUUCUCCUGGACUUCUGCUAUGCUCCUCAGCUGCCAGGCUCUUUCUUUGUGCCUCAAUCCCUCAAAUUUCCACCAUUGCCCUCAGAAAUGUUCUUCUCCUGUGUCUCUCUGCCCCUUCUGGCUUGUGCCUCAGUCCCUGAGAACAAGGACCCUUCUCCUCUCCUCUAUCCUCGCUGUCCCUCAGCCCUGAGAAGAUGUUUCCACUGCCAGGCUCCUUCCUUCCCUUCCUUGUGCCUCAAUCCCUCGGAAUAAGCCAAGGCGGAGGCGGCAGGACGAUAUAUAUUAUCCGUUUUCCUUCCUUCCUUCCGUCGUCGUCCACACACACCCCCGCGCGGGAAGGGAGAAAAAACAAUACUGAAGGGAGACGAGACGUGGCGCUUCUUUCGCGCCUCCACUCAUUUAUUUCCCCGCCAACUGUCAUCAAGGGAGAAGGGAAGGCGAAGCGAGAAUCGCCAGACUCAAAACAUCUCCUCUGGGCACCCAUUUGAAGGAACAUCUUAUCAGUCAGCAAUCAUUUCAACAAGUGGUUAUAUUUACUGCAAAGGAAAGAAGAGAGAGAGAGAAGCUUGUGGUAUGAUCAGAGCAAAGUUUGGAGUCCAAAAAACUAAAACUGAAUCAUAGAACUGGACGAGACCCCAAGGGCCAACCAGUCCAACCCCAUUCUACUAUGCAGAAAACACAAUCAAAGCACCCUGGACAGAAGCUCAUCCAGCCUCUGCUUAAUAACCUCCAGAGAAGGAGACUACCACAUUCCAAGGCAGCAGAUUCCACAUUUUCAAGCUAUGAAAGAAGAGAGCUUCAGUAAGAGCUCUUGUCACAUUUAGUGAUAAUAGUGAAAUAACAGAGAAUAUGGGCAUCCUGCAGCACAUUUUGCUCUAGUUUUUCAAUGAACAUCUCAUCAAAUCUCAACCAAUUCAACAGAGUUUGCGGCUCCACAAAAACAAAGUUUAUGGAGUAUAACAACUACUUUCAAAAGCUUUAGGUGGCAUAGGGGAAUUCCGGACACUGCCAAGACAAAGACAUACACCUGGAACUUCAUCUCAACAAAGCAAUCCAUUAUGCAUUGCUGAAAAAAGAAGAAAGGUAUAACUAAAAGUGAGGAUGAAAGAAGACGUCCGUUUGGAUAAAUUAACUUACGUUCAUCUUUAUCUUUUCCUGUCUUUCCUUUGAGUAGGCACUGGGAUUUUCAUUUAAAUAGGCACUUGGCGAUUAGCUGGUUAGUAUAAAUCUCUUUUAAUGGGAUUGUGUGCUUUUAUUCUUAUUUCUGUUUUAAAAUCCUUUAUAUUUUUAAAUAACUGUAUUUUAUUAGAGCUGCUAGUUAAAUGGUCUUUAAAACAAAUUUUAACCAUCAAAAUUUUAAAUGUACCUUGUUUUAAUCUAUAAUGUUAGCCAUCCUGGGUCACACACUUGUUCAUAAAACCUAUUUUUAUCUUUGUUAUAAUAUUCCUUUAAUUGUCUAUAUUGAAAUCAAGGGACCUUUUUAUAUGUUUGACUUAUCUCUUUGAGUGUUUUCAUUAAAUAAAUAUCACUCUGCUUCUCCAAAAUUUCUGUAUAUGUUGGCCAUUUCCAUGUUUUUUUUCAUAGAACCAAUUAGGAACUGACAUUUAUAACCCAGGAACAAAAGCCGUAUUACAUUGUGUAAAUGGACAAAUACAUCUUGCAAUAAUAAGGAACUCUGUGAACAGCUGACCUGCCUGCCUGUGGAGUCUGCUUUCCAGGUGCCAAAUGUGAGAGCAACUUCAGAAUAUCAGCUCCAUCUCCUUACAGUUUUGUUUUAAAGCUGGGUUUGGUCCUCAAUCCAACAUCUUCAUAGCAUUGCAUAAAUAUAUGCAUGUGGAGAUAAGUCAUGGCCAUACAAAGCCCCUUCCACUACCUUUAACUGCCAUUCCAUUGGCCACUGAGUAGGAGGGAGGCAGUCAGCAAGACACAGCUACAUUGUGUCUUAUGUAUUUCAUCUUAUUUAUCUUUUAUAGAUUGUAAGCAUGGGAGCCAAUUAACAUUUUGUAAGCUACUCUGAAUGGUUUUGUGGCUGAAGAGUGGAGUAAAAAUUCUCUAAAUAAAUACCUGCAUGUGGAGAUGAGUUAUGGUCAUACCGUGGAAGUCAUGUGUUGUGUAGGAUCAUUUAGCAAUGCAUGUGGACAAUACACUAUGUGCAAAAGCCUCAUAGGAAAAAAGGGUGGCAGCACAAAAAUUCAUAGGCCAGCAGUGGAAGGAUAGCUCCAGGCAAGGUGAGUAGGUAGAAUCAUAGAAUCAUAGAGUUGGAAGAGACCUUGUGGGCCAUCCAGUCCAACCCCCUACCAAGAAGCAGGAAAAUCGCAUUUAAAGAGGUGUUAGAAGUGGAUACUAUAAAUUUUGCAUAGCAGCUGACCUUCCAAAUGUUUGACCUCAUCAGAUGGGCCACCAGAAUUGCCACGCAACAUGACAAAUCCGGUGGUGCCCAUCAGAGGGCAUGGGAACCCAUCACCCCACACCCUGCAUCACUCGACUCACCCAAGUUCCCAUCCCACAGGGGGGAGCAUCUGCCACCUGGCUUCCCCCCGUUGACUUUAUUCCACACGGGAAAUCUAUGUUGCUGCAGCAGUGGAAUGUGCCAGUUUGGUAAUACUUUUAAGAUGGAGUGCCACCGGAAGUCGCUCUACAUUGUGGGAUGGCAGCUGGCAGGCUCUAUCAUAAAAGUCUUGGAGAACUGAAACACAUUGCUGAAAAGGACCUCAUAUGAUGAGGUUGCGAGUGCGAACGACACCUACGUUGCACCAUCUGCGACCAAGGCUGUAUACCAAAAUCAGGAGAGUUUUCAGAGUCUGAACAUGCAGUUUAUCAUUGAUAUCAUUGAUGGCAGGAUAAUUGGUGCCUCUGGCCAGUACCCUGGGAACAGCCAUAAUGGAAUAUCUUAGAGCUAUCAGUUCCUAAAAUGCUAGCAAGGCAGGCUGGCUGCUGGGAAUCUGCUGCAUACAUCUGUCUAUGGGUAUGUCUGUUCUGACAUGUGUGCUAUUGCUUUUGACUUUGCACAACUCUGUUUCCACUCCUAUCAGCAGAAUAUGCCCAUUGUAGAAUACUGAGAUUGCCACUCUGCAUGCAUAGCACUACUUUUUGUUUUUGUUGUGUGCUUUCAUGUUGUUUCUGACUUGUGGUGACCCUAAUUUGACCCCAUCACAGGGUUUUGCACAUGUGUACAUCACUAACAGGUUGUUGGCCUUCGGCACCUUGAAAAAGUGGACUAUUAUCUUCUAGUCCUUGAAACAGCGGACUGUCCUCUGUAAAGUAGGAAAAAUGGUCACCCUGCAUAUGGAAGAAACCUGAGAUGUGCAGUUGUGUGAAGGGAAAUUCUGAACACUUUGACAAAGAAUGAUAAUGUCCAGGAUUCUUUGGGAAACUAUGACUUACAAUGCUAUAAAGCUGAUAUGCAUUCGUAGCAUAACCCCCUUCAUUCAAUUGUAAAUCUGACAAAUUGUGAAUAGAGGGGAAUAAUUUAAGAAAGGAUCUUUGAGAAAGAUGUCUUUUCAGGCAUAGUUGUAAAAAAAAUCAAGACAGGGUAUAUUUUAAGCCUGACAUACAUUUUUUCCUGCAUAAUGACAUCAUACUGUCACAAAAGUAUGCCCCUCCAUAAUUUAUUCUUUUUUCCUAAUACAAAUUGAUGAUUAUUCUGCCAGCUCAUCAGGUUACUGCAGCUGCCUGCAAAUCUCAAAAUCCAUUUAAUUCCUUGUGAAAAUUCGGGGUAUCAGAAAUGAUAUUUCAACUACUAUACCAGCUCCCUCUGGACCUGCCACCUGUCCAGUGCAGGACCAGAAACAUACUAAAAGGGUCAGUUUGACCAUCAAAAUGAACAUUAAAAAUAGUGCUCUGUGGAUGAUUCAAAAUGUUUUCAUUGACUUAUACAAGGCUUACCUAACUUGAUUGUUUCAUUUCACAUAUGUAUUUUGUUUUGAAUAAAAGGUUUGGUUAAUUUUAUUUAUUUAUUUAUUUAUUUAUUUAUUUGUGACAUUUAUAUCUGCCCUUCUCACCCCGAAGAGGACUCGGGACAGCUGACAUCUUUCUCUCAGACGAAGCCCUAAGGUGGUGCCCAGAUAAAAUCAAUUAAAAAGCCCCUUAACAAUAAAAAUUUUAAAAACAAUUCAAAUCACCACAUAACAUUAUGUGAAAUAUAUAUAUUUCAUUGGAUAAGAGAGUGUUGGAUAAGUGAGACUCUACUGUACUUCUACACUUAGUGGUUUUAAUUAUUGUUAAGGGACAGGAGCAGCCAGGUCUAAUCCUCUUAUUUCUAGGCACAGCAUUACAAGAG